rnacentral:rRNA from 1 species
ACUGCUCAGUAACACGUGGACAACCUGCCCUUAGGUUGGGUAUAAACCCGGGAAACUGGGUAUAAUACCCGAUAGGUCUCGAUUGCUGGAAUGCAUCGAGAUUUAAAGCUCCGGCGCCUAAGGAUGGGUCUGCGGCCUAUCAGGUAGUAGUGGGUGUAGCGUACCUACUAGCCUACGACGGGUACGGGUUGUGAGAGCAAGAGCCCGGAGAUGGAUUCUGAGACACGAAUCCAGGCCCUACGGGGUGCAGCAGGCGCGAAAACUUUACAAUGCUGGCAACAGCGAUAAGGGAACCUCGAGUGCCAGGUUACAAAUCUGGCUGUCGAGAUGCCUAAAAAGCAUUUCAUAGCAAGGGCCGGGCAAGACCGGUGCCAGCCGCCGCGGUAACACCGGCGGCUCGAGUGGUAACCGUUAUUAUUGGGUCUAAAGGGUCUGUAGCCGGCCGGAUAAGUCUCUUGAGAAAUCUGGCAGCUUAACUGUCAGGCUUUCAGGAGAUACUGUCUGGCUCGAGGCCGGGAGAGGUGAGAGGUACUUCAGGGGUAGGGGUGAAAUCUUGUAAUCCUUGAAGGACCACCAGUGGCGAAGGCGUCUCACCAGAGCGGACCUGACGGCAAGGGACGAAAGCUAGGGGCACGAACCGGAUUAGAUACCCGGGUAGUCCUAGCCGUAAACGAUACUCGCUAGGUGUCGGCCACGGUGCGACCGUUGUCGGUGCCGUAGGGAAGCCGUGAAGCGAGCCACCUGGGAAGUACGGCCGCAAGGCUGAAACUUAAAGGAAUUGGCGGGGGAGCAC